ACGGCGUACCUUUUGUAUAAUGGGUCAGCGAGUUAUUGUCUGUAGCAAGGUUAACCGUUUAGGGGAGCCGUAGGGAAACCGAGUCUUAAUAGGGCGUCAUAGUUGCAGGCAAUAGACCCGAAACCGGACGAUCUAGCCAUGGCCAGGUUGAAGGUGCCGUAACAGGCACUGGAGGACCGAACCCACUUAUGUUGAAAAAUGAGGGGAUGACUUGUGGCUAGGGGUGAAAGGCCAAUCAAACUCGGAGAUAGCUGGUUCUCCGCGAAAUCUAUUUAGGUAGAGCGUCGGAUGAACACUCCAGGGGGUAGAGCACUGAAUGGGCUAGGGGGUCUCACCGACUUACCAAACCUAAUCAAACUCCGAAUACCUGGAAGUGCUAUCCGGCAGACACACGGCGGGUGCUAACGUCCGUCGUGGAGAGGGAAACAACCCUGACCACCAUCUAAGGUCCCCAAGUUAUGGCUAAGUGGGAAAGGAUGUGAGACUCCCAAAACAACCAGGAUGUUGGCUUAGAAGCAGCCAUCCUUUAAAGAAAGCGUAACAGCUCACUGGUCUAAAUAAGGGGUUUUGCGCCGAAAAUGUACCGGGGCUAAAGCCAUGCACCGAAGCUGAGGAUGUGCAGUUUACUGCACGUGGUAGCGGAGCGUUCUGUAAGUCUGUGAAGGGAGACCCGUGAGGGCUCCUGGAGAUAUCAGAAGUGCGAAUGUUGACAUGAGUAACGAUAAAGGGAGUGAGAGACUCCCUCGCCGAAAGACCAAGGGUUCCUGCUUAAAGUUAAUCUGAGCAGGGUGAGCCGGCCCCUAAGGCGAGGCCGAAAGGCGUAGUCGAUGGGAACCACGUUAAUAUUCGUGGGCCUGGUGGUAGUGACGGAUCUCGUGUGUUGUAUCUCCUUACUGGAUUGGAGAUGCAGCGAAGAGGUUCCAGGAAAUAGCUCCACCGUAUAGACCGUACCCGAAACCGACACAGGUGGACUGGUAGAGUAUACCAAGGCGCUUGAGAGAACGACGUUGAAGGAACUCGGCAAAUUGCACGCGUAACUUCGGAAGAAGCGUGACCCUCACUCACGCAAGUGGAUGAGGGUGGCACAGACCAGGGGGUAGCGACUGUUUAUCAAAAACACAGGGCUCUGCGAAGUCGCAAGACGACGUAUAGGGUCUGACGCCUGCCCGGUGCCGGAAGGUUAAGAGGAGAGGUGAGAGCUUUGAAUCGAAGCCCCGGUAAACGGCGGCCGUAACAAUAACGGUCCUAAGGUAGCGAAAUUCCUUG
rnacentral:rRNA from 1 species